rnacentral:rRNA from 1 species
GACAGCAGCCGCCGCGGUAAUACGAAGGGGGCUAGCGUUGCUCGGAAUGACUGGGCGUAAAGGGCGCGUAGGCGGUUCGUACAGUCAGAUGUGAAAUUCCUGGGCUUAACCUGGGGGCUGCAUUUGAUACGUGCGGGCUUGAGUGGGGAAGAGGGUCGUGGAAUUCCCAGUGUAGAGGUGAAAUUCGUAGAUAUUGGGAAGAACACCGGUGGCGAAGGCGGCGACCUGGUCCUUGACUGACGCUGAGGCGCGAAGCGUGGGGAGCAAACAGGAUUAGAUACCCGCGUAGUCCCUGUCUCUUAUACA